AACCGUUCUUGACCGGCUGUGUCCCAGAUCUGCAAGACACAAAACACCUGGUCUUUAGGAGAUGCGUGUGUACAUGGGUAGGAGUGACAUGGUUCCUUUCUUCUCCCAGGUCCUGAAGUUUCUGGCCACUCCACUUGAAGGUCAUGGUCCAGCCAAGUAUGACCUGUGCCCCUUAGAGUUCCUAGCAAGGCUCCCCUUGCCUGUGUCCUAUCCCAGGGGUCUUCUGUGUAUCUAUGCUAAUACCUGCUGCUUCAAUAUAUACUUCA